ensembl:lncRNA
GGAGUGGCCGCCUGUAUAAAGAUGCUCGAGCCUCAGAUGACUCCCACAGUCAUGGAGCUCCUGCUGCGCGCGUGUCUCCUCCUGCUGGCUGCGCUCACGUUCGUUGAUGGAUCCGCUGUCAGAGUCGUUGUCCAGUGACGCCAUCUUACCCUGUUCUCCCAGCACCAAGGUGGACCUUAACUAUAAAAUCUUUGACUGGAAGAAAGAUGGUCAGAAGGAGGUGUUCUUUUAUGAUUCAGGCAUUCAUUACAACAACGGUCGUUCAGGUCAGGAUGAACAGUUCAGAGGACGAGUGUCAUUUUUUCCUGAUCAGCUGACGUCUGGUAACGCCUCCAUAACCAUCACAAACACAAAGACAGUCGACAGUGGAGAAUACAGCUGUGUUUUUCCACGUCUUCAUCCAGAACAAAGAUACACCGUUCAGCUUGUUGUUGACACAGUCUUAAAGGACAGAUCAAAGGAAAACACCCCAGGUGAGUCUGGAUAUUAAUGACGUCACUUAUUCACCAGUACGUGAAAUAACUGAUCAUUGAUUAGUGUAA